rnacentral:piRNA from 1 species
UAAAAUAGGACAGUUAAAUUU